GUAGGGACCAAGCGUUGUUCGGAUUUACUGGGCGUAAAGGGCGCGUAGGCGGCGUGACAAGUCACUUGUGAAAUCUCUGGGCUUAACCCAGAACGGCCAAGUGAAACUGUUGUGCUAGAGUGCAGAAGGGGCAAUCGGAAUUCUCGGUGUAGCGGUGAAAUGCGUAGAUAUACGGAGGAACACCAGAGGCGAAGGCGGAUCGCUGGGCCAACACUGACGCUGAGACGCGAAAGCUAGGGGAGCAAACGGGAUUAGAUACCCCGGUAGUCCUAGCCUUAAACGAUGCUGACUUGGUGUUCCCGGUUUUAAGUCCGGGGGUGCCGGAGCUAACGCGUUAAGUCAGCCGCCUGGGGAGUACGGUCGCAAGGCUG
rnacentral:rRNA from 1 species